UUCGUGCAACGUGUUGCGAACUUGAGACUGCUUUCGGAAGUGGAGACAAAAGUCGUGUUUUUUAAAAAGCAAAGACUGACCAGAAGGUGUGCCUCUGUGGCCCCUCUGAGCUGAGCCACGCCACGCCACCACCAACUUCGUUCAGUGUCUCAGCAGAGAAAGCUGUCGAGGUUGCAUUCAGGAAACACCCUUCACAGGCUUCAGUUGCCAAAGCCUGUUAUGCUUCACACCCUUGUUUCUGCACAUGGAUGUUUUUAUUCUGCUGGGUUUUAUUUACUUAUUUAUUUGAAGUAGCAAAAGCUGAAAAUAACAAACAUUUGAUUUGGCUAGAGAGGGUGUUGUAACACAAAAGCUAGAAGGGAAGAAAAACUGUCCUUUGCUAAAGCACAGUGCAGUAACAGCUGUGCUGUAGUAACCACCCUUCAGGUCCUCCUGACGGAGCAGAGGGGAUGAGUCUUCAGCACGGUCCUAAUCCCAACAUGGCUGUAAGCGUUGACUGGAGAGAAAGAACUAAUGUCUGAAAGGUUAUUUUCAGUGCAUGGUUGCUCUGAGACUGUUACAGAAAACAGCCAUUGAUAAUAACUUCUCGUACAGAUGGUUGUGUCCCCUUACCUGUCCAACUGGAUGUGCAGAAAGUCAGAAGUCUGGACAAUUCCAGAAGAACAGAGACAACAGUGGAAAGGGACUUGCAGCAUGACAGAAAGGCACACCAGAGUGCUGCUGCUGCUUUUGCAACACCAGAAACUAGUGAUCGCGCCCAGGAAAUAGUGAACACUGCAUCACACCUGCUAGGUGAAGUUUCCUGGAACUGUGCUAAGCGCUUCCAAGUGGUUCUGGCAUCUCAUGCAAGGCAAACUGACACGUGGCUGACAGGAGCGAUUGAAUGUUGCUUUGCAUGAAAUGAAAUGUCAAUACUAUUAUUUUUUUGGAGCAGCAGCCAAAAUGCUUGUGAUUUUCGAGGGCUUUCAUCAAAGUUAAUAUCUUUCUAUCGAUGGUAGUGGUGUGGAAAGGAAUUUCAGUUGCUUACUUUUCAGUCUUAAUUACAU